rnacentral:sRNA from 12 species
AGACUUGGUCGUAGAGCCACGACCAACAAAAGGUUCCUAGGGGAAACUUUAAUCUAAAGAACGCUCACCAAGA